AUAAAAUGAAAAAUCCCAAAACUGAAAAUUUCGGGGAAGAAAAAUGAUGAACCCUAAAUCUGAUAAUACAGUAUAAAAAAUUCUCACGAAUUCGCAGGGAAAUAGGUCUACUUUUUCUUGAUUCCCACGUCAAAAUUUCUCACAGCAAAAACAUUUCAAUUCUAGUAUACGCGAAUAUAUUCGAUGCUAUUCCGAAGGCUAUGCGUCACUUUAUCGAAAUCUUGCGACUACCCUUUUUUUCUUUCCCCAAAAUUGAUAAACCCUUUGGCUAGUUUAAACUCAAACCCAGAAUUUAUAUCGAAUUGUGAAUCCGUGAAACUAAGUUUUCGGAGGCGGUUGUCAGUGAAUUCACACAAUUUGGAGUCCAAAAACGCUGCUAGUCCCACUAUGGAUGAUCCUAGGAGGCCCCCAGUCGUUCCCAUUCCACCCCCGGAAACUGCCGAACCGGCCGAGGUAUUCAGGGCCCUGGAGGCCUCUUUGGGCUCGCAAUUUAGCUCUCAGCCCAUAGUCCCGAACCCUGGACCUUUGAUUAUUGUGAUAAGUGGACCCAGUGGUGUUGGCAAAGAUGCUGUGAUCAAAAGAUUGAGAGAAGUUAGAGAAAAUUUGCAUUUUGUGGUUACAGCAACUAGCCGGGCUAAAAGGCCUGGAGAAGUUGACGGAAAAGACUACUUUUUUGUGAGUAAAGAGAAAUUUUUGUCCAUGAUCCAGAAAAACGAGCUCUUGGAGUAUGCAUUGGUGUAUGGUGAUUAUAAGGGGAUACCAAAGCAGCAGAUUAGGCAGUACGUGGAGAAAGGGUGUGACAUUGUGUUGAGAGUGGAUAUACAGGGUGCCAUAACGUUGAGAAGGAUCUUGAGAAAGAGUGCGAUUUUUGUGUUUUUAGUGGCAGAGAGUGAGGAGGCAUUGGUAAAGAGAUUGAUUGAUAGGAAGACAGAAACGAAGGAGACUCUGCUCAUGAGGGUGGCAACAGCUAGGGAAGAGGUGAGGCAUUUGAAAGAGUUCGAUUAUGUGGUUGUAAACAAGGAAGGUGAGUUGGAGAGCUCAGUAAAGCUGGUGGAGUCUAUUAUUGAUGCUGAGAAGGCUAAAGUGCAGCAAACUAGAGUGGUCAUUUAGAUAAGAUCCCCUUUAAAAAAUUUGGGUUAGUAAAGUGCAUGUUGAAACUUAAUGGAGUACCUGUGAAACUCACUUUGUUAUGGCAUAUUGUCAUCGGUUAUGUUCUUAAAUCUUAGCAAUGUUUGACCGUUUUUCCAAUGAUUGAUUCCUCUGUGCGUCAAUGAGUCUAUUCGUGAGGCCACUGCGUCAAUGUUUCUUGGAUCUUUGAAUUUGGGUGAGUAUGUCUGUAUCUUACAAUUGCUGAAUUUUUAAAUUAAAAGAGCACUAUUUUGCUAUAACUUCCUAGCAAAGCACAAUCUUUUGCAUUCAAAAUUGAUGAUUGUGUUUGCAUACCUAUCUUGUUAUGUAACUCGAGAGUUGUUCUUUCUACCUUCUUUCUUGUUGGCACUAUAGGCAUUUUUUUCUAUUCCAAUUUUACUAUUGCUUUUAUGAUAUAGGAAUUUUAUAUUUUUUUAUCUUUUGUGGGUAACUCUCAAUGAGAGGAGGCUCCUGAAUGUAGUAAAAAUGCACGUCACAAUGGACAAGCAAAUGUCCAUGCAAUCUAACAAUUGUUAACACAUUCAGUAUGCUUCAUAAAUUAAGACAUUUUUCUACCAUGAUGGGCCCAUAGUACCUAACUAUCCUAACAUGUAAAAGCUAUAAAGAUUCUGGGUAAUAUGUUUAUCUGAUUCACUAAUUAAUAAUAUUAUUAGUUCUCAACUUUGUGAAUGAAAUAAGAAGUAUUAUUAGCACUCAAACUUCCUCUGUAGAUAACAUCCUACCAAACUGAUACAACGUAAUUGCAGCUGUGACUCUAGAGACUAACUUGGUGACCUUCAUAAAUUUUCACUUGUCUGUGGGUAUUGACAUGCAGAUAAAAUUGUUCACUCAGUUGAUAGGUUCCACAAAGUAAUGCAAAUAUUAUGCAUGAAAAUCAUCUUAAUCAAAAUUAAAAAUUCUUUUUAAGGCAAUUUAAAAGACACAUUCCACUCUCUAUCUUAGCAAAUUUUAACCAAUCUAAGUGAGGGUAUGUUUGUAAUUCAGGCAUGCUGUAUCGUUUGAGAAAUAUUUAUUGUAUGCAACAUUGGAUGUGCAUUUUAAAGAGAGAAUAUGUUCCAUCUGUGGCUCACAACUACUCUGCAUUCUGUUCUUUUUGGUCAUGAGCAACAUGAUUGGGGCCUGGCCCCCCUCCUCCCACCUAAACUCCCUUCCUAAGAGAUUCUAACUUGCAUUACUUGCAGGUGAGUU
rnacentral:lncRNA from 1 species